ensembl:lncRNA
GUUUUGCUUUCCAAAGCGCUUGGCUUAACUCGGGCCUGUUAUUUGCUCUUUUCCAGGAGCCUGAAGUGGAAGGCCUCAUCCGGCCUGGCCUCUCGGCUGGACAGAUGGACAGGAGGAGGAGGAGGAGGAGGCUGCAGAGCCAGGUAUCUGUGCUUUCUGUCAUAAGGGCAUUUCGCCCAGUGCUCUCGCUCUGGAGGCCAUGAGGAAGCAGUACCACGUCAAAUGUUUCACUUGCCGGGUGUGUCACAGCAGCCUUGCAGGGGAGAGCUACUACCAAAAAGAAGGCCGGCCGCUGUGCGUGGCCUGCUAUCAGACCACCUUGGAGAAAUGCGAUGCCUGCCAAGCCUCCAUCCUCAGCGAGAUUGUGUGGGCGGUGGGGAAGGGAUACCACCCAGAAUGCUUCACCUGCGUGGACUGCAGCCGCCAGAUUGGCAGCGAUGCCUUCGCUGUGGACGAGGAGCAGCGGGCCCUUUGCCUUCCAGACUUUUACCGGAGGUUUGCUCCCGUCUGCGGGGUCUGUGAGGAGCCCAUCAUCCCGCAGGACGGGAGGGACGCCUACAGGAUCGAGUGCCUGGGCAGAAGCUUCCAUGAGGACUGCUAUCGGUGUGAGAAGUGCCAGGUCUUGCUCUCCCUGGAGCCCACGGAGGACGGGUGCUACCCCCUUGGCAGCCGCCUCCUAUGCCAAGCCUGCCACGCCUGGCAGAUCCAGUCCUCCCCCGGAGGAGACGGUGGAUGCUGAUCGCUCUCGGAAGUGGGGCCCAGGAGGGCUAGUCCCCGCGUUCCAGCUUGCCUUCCCCCCCACUUGUUGUGUCUGUGAACCUUUUUGCAAUGUUUCUUUUCUCCUUGCGGGGGAGGGGGGGAGUGGGCCAGGGACUGAGAGCAGCCCUCUCCUUGUUGGAAUGAGGUUUGACAUUCUUCCACACCCGACCAAAGACGCCUUGCUCCUCACCCCCACCCCCCCGCUUCUUAUGUCUUAUGUCCGGCUAGGGAGAGCGCUCAGCUGUCCUUGCCGCCUCGGCUGGGAUUUGGCCUGCGGGAAAGCUUCCUUCAAGGAGAGGGGAGGAGAGCGAGUUCAGGAGGGAAGCCCUCGGCAGGCAAGUCCUUAGUUGGCCCUCCCGGCUUUCCCCAAGCUCUGUCUCUUAGGAGGGCUGGCAGGGGGCAGCCCAGGCUUCCAGGACCACCUCACCUAAGGCAACAUAGAAGAUCUGGAGAGGGAGCCCACCCAACCCCAUGCUGCAAAUUUCCAGGUGGCAUCGCCGUAGUUGUGGGCCAUUCAGCUGCCCGGGGGUUGGGUGGGGAGGGAGCCAAGAGUGCUCUGAUCCCACAGCCCCUCGUCCUGCUUUCCGUGCCCCAAAGAAGACCGCCUCUGAGUCAAGCCCAGCAGCCAGGAGACCAGAGAAAAGGCCUGGCAGGUGGGGGCGCCUGGGCAGAAGCAACCCACUGGUUUUCAGCGGACUUCAGUUCCUGUUGGUACCGGUCUCCUCCACUAGGGGGCAGCCCAGCUCUGGACCUUGCCCUCCCCCCCCCUGCAAGUCCAAGAAAGAUGUGGGCAUUCCUGCUGCUAGGCAAGGACUUAAAACACUGGGGAGCCGGCAGGAGCUCUGCCCCCUUGAAGGAGGGAGAGGGGCUCCUGGGAAAAGCCCCUGGAAGCUCAUUGUCCCACAGACAAUGGGGGUCUUUCUUUUGAUUCUUGGGCAACUGCUUAAGCCUUUCCCUUUGGUCAGUCCUGGCCAGCUUUCUUUGUGUGCUGCCCAAGGGCUGUCCAGAGGGACGUGCUCUUUUGGGUGCUUCAGUCCUAGGAGCCCCCUUCCUUGGUACUCGGGUACCAAGGCAGCCUCUCCCAGGCCGGGCUGUGCACCCCUCCGAGAAGGCCCUGAUGACCAGAUCAGCAGCCCGCCACACACAGGACAGUAGCUUGAAGCCAUUGGUCCCAAAGGUGCUUUUUCAAAAGGCAACUGGGCUUCCUUGGACAUUUUUUUUUCCUCUCUCCCUCCCUCAAAAACGUUUCGCUCCUCAUCCAAGAAGGUUCUUCCGCUCCCGGAUGAGAAGCGAAACAUUUGCAAGGAGGAAAAACGAAACGAAAUCCCGAUCGCCUUUUGAGGACAACUGUGAAGUGUCUGAGGCUGAGAAUCCCCCCCCCCAUCCAUAGACACGAAAGCCAUUUCUGCCAUUGCUAGCUACGCCGCCUGGGCCGGCCUUGGUGGGGAAGGGGGGCAUUUAUCCCCACGCGUGUUUUCCGGCCACCCCGACGUUCUCCAAGCGGGACUGCGGGAUUCCUCGCAAGAUCUCUCGGAUUCAGAGGCUGGCCAAGUGGCAUCUUGGCUCGACCUGUCCCCGCCGGUGGGAAUCCGGGAGGAGGCGUGCAAUAAUAAUCGAUCCGCAAUAAAUAAAAAGCUUUUUUUAAAAAAGACA